AACCAAAAUGGCUUAUUACCUGAGGUGAAUGUGAAUCUGUUCAAUGUCUGGUAUUCAUAGUUCUAAUCUAACACUUCCAUUACGUCUGCUGCAGCUACCUCUCCACCACACAUCUCCACAGAGGUGCUAACUCCCACAGAUGGUGCAGCUGAUGAAGGGGAAGACUCUUCCUCAGAGUUUACAGUGGUCAAGGUCCUGGCAGCUGUUGCCCUGGUCAUCGUGGUUCUACUGACUUCAUAUCUUAGUUUUCUGAGCUACAGAAGAAAGCGUGACGCUUCUUCAGACAAGAUUGCUGCUAGUAGGCAUGACAGACCAGGCUCUGAUCUGGAUUACGCAUCUAUAACAUUCACCAACACUGACUGUCAAAGCGAUCAGGAGGUGCCAUAUGCUGACAUAAUGAUUUCCGUGCGGGGGGUGAGCACCCCCGAGUUGAGGGGCCACCCAGGGGGGGCCCCAGGGAACCCCAGAGCGAGAUGGAGGGAUGACUCAGGGCCUGGACCCCUACAGCAUGUCUCCCGUUCGGCUGACCGUCUGCAUGUCCAGCCCAGAGAAGUGUCCAGGAAGCUGAGCAGCACCUCGGAGUACGCCGUCAUCACCUACUCUACCGAUGCUCUUCACUGACACCCAGCAAUUCUCUUAAAAUCCCAGCUGACCAGCUUAACUAUCCAUCCUUUUUUCUGUAACUAUAAAAGUGUAAAAGUGUACAACAUAGCACCAGUGUAUGACAUGUAUAAAGAUGUACAAUAUGCAGGCCUACACUGUACACAAUAUAGACUACAUGAAUUCAAAAUGUAUUAUUUAGUUUGGCAGAAUGCUAAGAUCCAAAGAAAAGAAAAUAAUAAGUAAUCUAAUUCUCAAAGCUUUUUCCAGUGUGGUGUGUAAACCAUAGACAUAAAAGCUAUGGUACAUACUGCCUAUAGAUAUCAGGGAAGCCAGCUCGCUAAAUAUUUUUUAAAGAAAACUAAAAACGUAUCUCUUCACCUUAGCCUUUAACUAGCUGCGACUUCACGCUAUAUAUAUAUAUAUUUUGUAUUUUUUAAUGUGUUUUACUUUUAUCUUCAUCGUGAUAUAAUGUGAUAUUAAGGGUUUAGAUAAACUAUAUCUCUACAGAGAUUUAUUUUCUAUCUUAUGUUAUGCAUUUUAUGUAUUCUAUUUUUAUCGUAAAUCUUUAUUCACUCUAUCCCUGUUUUUAUGCUCAUUUUAUUUUGUUUUAUGCACUCUAUCCUUGUUUUUAUGUUUAAUGUAUUAUGCUUCUUUGAUGUCUAUAUUAUUUGGAUCACUGUGCAUGUAAUUUCUUUGUGCACGUGAUUUCUUUGCUGUUAAGCACUUUGAGCUGCAUUGUUUUGUAUGAAAGGUGCUAUACAAAUAAAGUGUAUUAUUAUUAUUAUUAUUA
ensembl:lncRNA